GCGUUGGUGAUUCAGUGGUAGAAUUCUCACCUGCCACGCGGGUGACCCGGGUUAGAUUCCCGGCUGACGCA